GACGAACGCUGGCGGCGUGCUUAACACAUGCAAGUCGAACGGAAAGGCCUUUUCGGUGGUACUCGAGUGGUGAACGGGUGAGUAACACGUGGGUGAUCUGCCCCGCACUCUGGGAUAAGCCUGGGAAACUGGGUCUAAUACCGGAUAGGACUGCACUUUAGUGUGUGUGGUGGAAAGUUUUUUCGGUGUAGGAUGAGCCCGCGGUCUAUCAGCUUGUUGGUGGGGUAAUGGCCUACCAAGGCGGCGACGGGUAGCCGGACUGAGAGGCUGGUCGGCCACAUUGGGACUGAGGUACGGCCCAGACUCCUACGGGAGGCAGCAGUGGGGAAUAUUGCACGAUGGGCGCAAGCCUGAUGCAGCGACGCCGCGUAGGGGAUGACGGCCUUCGGGUUGUAAACUCCUUUCGCCAGGGACGAAGCGUUUUGUGACGGUACCUGGAGAAGAAGCACCGGCUAACUACGUG
rnacentral:rRNA from 1 species